rnacentral:piRNA from 1 species
GAAUUUGAGGGUCAGUCUGGACAACUU